AGCUAACAAGUUCCCGGAGAGGCAACCCAUCGGCACAUCUGCUCAGUCCACUGAGAAGGACUACAAAGAGCCACCUCCUGCACCACUGUUCGAGCCAGGCGAGCUGAGCUCAUGGUCCUUCUACAGGGCCGGUAUCGCUGAGUUUAUUGCUACUUUCCUCUUCCUCUACAUCACUGUGCUUACUGUUAUGGGAGUCAAGAGAGCACCAACCAUGUGUGCUUCUGUUGGGAUCCAAGGCAUCGCCUGGGCUUUUGGUGGCAUGAUCUUUGCUCUCGUCUACUGUACUGCUGGAAUUUCAGGUUUUCCUCCUUCUUCUUCUUCUUCUAGUAGUUUUUGGUAAUCUCUUCUCUGUUGGCUUUCUCUCUCUGUUUUUGUUCUUGAAAGAACAAGCAAGGAAAUUUCUCUGUAUAUUUGGUUCUGUUUGACCUAGGAAUUGUAAAGGGACAGAGACAAGUUUGAAAAGCAGGAACCUUUCUCUUGUUUUGAUGUUUGGGCUUAUCUAGAUCUGUCCAUUACUCCAAUUUUACUCUACGUUUCUCAGAUAAAGCUCGUGAUUGUUUAUAGUAACUUAUGUUUGUGUAUGUGUUUCUCAGGUGGACACAUCAACCCUGCGGUGACAUUCGGUCUGUUCUUGGCUCGGAAGUUGUCUCUGACCCGAGCUGUGUUCUACAUGAUAAUGCAAUGUCUCGGAGCCAUCUGCG
rnacentral:lncRNA from 1 species